rnacentral:rRNA from 1 species
AGAGUUGAUCAUGGCUCAGGAUGAACGCUGGCGGCGUGUCUAAGGCAUGCAAGUCGAACGAUUGUCCAACUCUUUGGUUCUUUAAGAAAAAAAUGGGGCGAGGAAAACAAAAAAAGCAACGAGGAAAAUAUUAUAAAUAUUAAAAACUCCUCAGUAGGUUGCUUUUCCUCGUCCCCUUAUAAAUUUUAAUUUUUAAAGGAAUCAGAGAGUUGGACAAGAGUGGCAAACGGGUGAGUAACACAUUGGUAAUCUGCCCCUUUCUCAAACAUAACUCGUCGAAAGGCGGGCUAAUAUUUGAUAGUCUUGCGUUUCGCAAGAAGCGUAAGUAAAGGAUAUCGCAAGAUAUUUGGAAAGGGAGGAACCUAUGGUCUAUCAGUUAGUUGGCAGGGUAAUGGCCUACCAAGACGAUGACGGAUAGCGGGCGUGAGAGCGCGACCCGCCUCAAGGGGACUGAG